UACGUAGGGUGCAAGCGUUGUCCGGAAUCAUUGGGCGUAAAGCGCGCGUAGGUGGCUUCGUAAGUCCGUUGUGAAAGUCAAAGGCUCAACCUUUGAAUGCCGAUGGAUACUGCGAAGCUAGAGUACGGAAGAGGCGAGUGGAAUUCCUGGUGUAGCGGUGGAAUGCGCAGAUAUCAGGAGGAACACCAAUAGCGAAGGCAGCUCGCUGGGACGUUACUGACACUAAGGCGCGAAAGCGUGGGGAGUGAACAGG
rnacentral:rRNA from 1 species